UACGGAGGGUGCAAGCGUUAAUCGGAAUUACUGGGCGUAAAGCGCGCGUAGGCGGUUAGUUAAGCGAGAUGUGAAAGCCCCGGGCUCAACCUGGGAACUGCAUUUCGAACUGGCUAACUAGAGUACAGUAGAGGGUGGUAGAAUUUCCAGUGUAGCGGUGAAAUGCGUAGAGAUUGGAAGGAAUACCAGUGGCGAAGGCGGCCACCUGGACUGAUACUGACGCUGAGGUGCGAAAGCGUGGGGAGCAAACAGG
rnacentral:rRNA from 1 species